GCCAGGUGUGGUGGCCCACACCUGUAGUCCCAGCUACUCAGGAGGCUGAGGUGGGAGGAUUGCUUGAGCCUGGGAGGUCAAACCUGCAGUGAGCCAUGAUUGCACCACUGCACUCUAGCCUGAGCAGCAGAGCAAGAUCCUGUCUCAA
rnacentral:SRP_RNA from 1 species